AUUGAACGCUGGCGGCAUGCCUUACACAUGCAAGUCGAACGGCAGCGCGGACUUCGGUCUGGCGGCGAGUGGCGAACGGGUGAGUAAUACAUCGGAACGUACCCUGUUGUGGGGGAUAACUAGUCGAAAGAUUAGCUAAUACCGCAUGCGACCUGAGGGUGAAAGUGGGGGACCGCAAGGCCUCACGCAGCAGGAGCGGCCGAUGUCUGAUUAGCUAGUUGGUGGGGUAAAGGCCCACCGAGGCGACGAUCAGUAGCUGGUCUGAGAGGACGAUCAGCCACACUGGGACUGAGACACGGCCCAGACUCCUACGGGAGGCAGCAGUGGGGAAUUUUGGACAAUGGGGGCAACCCUGAUCCAGCAAUGCCGCGUGUGUGAAGAAGGCCUUCGGGUUGUAAAGCACUUUUGUCCGGAAAGAAAUCGCGCUGGUUAAUACCUGGCGUGGAUGACGGUACCGGAAGAAUAAGCACCGGCUAACUACGUGCCAGCCGCCGCCGUAA
rnacentral:rRNA from 1 species